rnacentral:tRNA from 1 species
ACGCGGGUGAGAACUGCAGCGCUCGUCGGCCUGGCGCGAACCCGAAGGUCGCCGGUUCAAAUCCGGCCCCCGCGUA